rnacentral:misc_RNA from 1 species
AGAAAUUGUGCCAAAUAUAACCAAUAAGAUUAUACAGGUUGAGUUAACAAAAUAGAAUAUUUAAAAAAAAGUUAAAAAAAAGAAGAAAACAUCUACUGUUGUUGCCAUUUAUUAGAAAUUACUAUGUUAUCUUGAAAAUGAAUUGACAACCAGACCAAGGUUCUGACAAAUUAUACUUUCAUAGGUGUAUUUCAAUCAAGAACCAACCCUUGGUUCCAUGUAAUAUACCAAUCAGGCUCUGCCUUAUAAAACAGAAAAAAAACCUUGCAUAGUAAAAUCAUCCAUCCCCUUACAAAAUAAGCACAAAGUGCAUGCCAAGACUAUAAUUAGGCAAUACCAAACUUGAUGUUUAAGCGCAAGAACCAUAGCACUACCUCAUGCACUGUGAAUACACUAGUGUCUGAUAGUUACUAUAUUGUUCACCGGGGAGUAUCUGGCCGUGAAUUUGUACUAAACAAAAUAUCAACCACAAAAAGGAGAAUGAUGAUAAAAAGAUGAAAUGAUAUUAACGACUUAACUAUACUUUGCGCUUGUCAAAAAGUAGGGACUUCAAGACUAAUAGUUUACAUCAAAAUUCUCGAGUUAGACAAGGAGGCUAUUGUGGAACUCUUCUAAAACAGGGUUCAAGCAUCAAACGGGCAAAUUGCACUAGUUUCAACUUUUCCAAGAUCAGGUCAAAUUUAUUAAUUCUUUUAAGACCAGAUUAAGUGGGCCAGGUUGCAGUUUGAUUUGUAGAUCAGCUAAUUUUAGUCUGGCCUUGACCACACGCAGGUCAGGUUCAAAUACUUCAUUUUACCUGCUAAUACACAUCAUUUUCCCUAAUUUCAGAGAGAGAGAGAGGAGAUGUCCAGUGAUUAAAUCUGCCUUAAAGAGAAA